GACGAACGCUGGCGGCGUGCCUAAUACAUGCAAGUAGAACGCACAGGAUGCACCGUAGUUUACUACACCGUAUUCUGUGAGUUGCGAACGGGUGAGUAACGCGUAGGUAACCUGCCUGGUAGCGGGGGAUAACUAUUGGAAACGAUAGCUAAUACCGCAUAAGAACAUUUACUGCAUGGUAGAUGUUUAAAAGGUGCAAAUGCAUCACUACCAGAUGGACCUGCGUUGUAUUAGCUAGUAGGUGAGGUAACGGCUCACCUAGGCGACGAUACAUAGCCGACCUGAGAGGGUGAUCGGCCACACUGGGACUGAGACACGGCCCAGACUCCUACGGGAGGCAGCAGUAGGGAAUCUUCGGCAAUGGGGGGAACCCUGACCGAGCAACGCCGCGUGAGUGAAGAAGGUUUUCGGAUCGUAAAGCUCUGUUGUUAAGGAAGAACGAGUGUGAGAAUGGAAA
rnacentral:rRNA from 1 species